UGUUGACAACUGUAAAUGAACAAUCUCAUAUAAAGUUUUAACAGUUUGUGGUACGGUUAUUUGACAAAUAACAAUAUGUUGAAUGGGUUGUUAAGUUAUGUCACCAUAAAAAAUCGUCUGUUUUCGCGUGCAAAAUUUUCGCUCAACAGUAUGAUAAAAUGUUGACAUAUAAUGCAGGAAAUAAAGAACAUUUUUGAGACAACAUGUUAUAUGUUGACAUUUAGUGAUGAUGUCGAGCAGUUAUGGUUGAAUCGAUCGAAAAGUAUUCGAUAACCGCAACGUAAACUGUGAAGCUAUAUCUUACAUCGUAAUAAUGAUUCUGACCAUAUAACAUGUUGUUUUUUAUUAUGCGGGAUAUUGUAUGCUUCGCGUUUCAUUGCGUUUUACAAAAUGCAUCGUAUGUAUGUAAUAUUGAUUGUAUCUUCCUUCUCCAGAAACCUGUUCCAUUCUCCUUUCCAACUUCACUUCCUCUUCCUUUCCCCUUUUCACUUCCUUUUCCGUCUCGAAGUUUUUUGAGUAUUUUAAGUAUGUAGAAAAUACCAUCAUCACCCAAGGCUUUCAUAUUUUUAAAUUUUCUAGUAAUAGAUCUCGUUUCAUCCAAAUUAGUUCCCAACGAAGAGUCAAAAACAUUAUCUUGACGUGGUCGUUGCUCCCACGAAUGGUAAGAUAAGUUUGCAGGAGAUUGAAAAGAAAAGAAAUCAGGCAAAAAAUAAUGGUAAGCCUUAGGACGCAGGACAAUAUGGCAAAAAAAAAAUGAUUAAGCCAUGAGGUCGUAAAGGCAAAAAAAUAAAGGUAAGCCUCAGCUGGAAAAUAAAAUGGCAAAAAAUAAUGGUGAGCCAUAAUAUGUGGAGCAAAACAAAAAUUGUAAGCCUCAAACCGGCAGCAAAAAUGGCAAAAAAAUGUACGUUUAUCAAACGAGGCUUGCCGACUUGGAUAAAUACUACGAGUGCUAUCGCUAUUUUUUGCAAUGACGAAAAAUGGGCUUUAAUGUGAUAAAUCUGUACCAAAAUGGUACAAUUGUAUUUGUCGUAUCCAAGCAAAUCCGUUCUCCAACAUGCUUUUUUGUUGAAAAUAAGCGUUGGACACUUGCAAUCAAAUCUUGCUUAACUUUUCAAAAGGACCUAAGUAACAUUUUUUUCAUGAUUUAAAUUGAGUACUGCAAUCAAAAUCUUUCAUGUUUUUCUGUUGAUUGCGCUAUUCAAAUUAAUUCAUGAAAAAAUGUUAAUUAGGACCUUUUGAAAAGUUAAGCGAGAAAUGGCGUGUUCACGCCUCAAGAAACGAACACUGAAUGAUCUUCAUUUAUUUUCUUUGUCCCCUUCUAACAAUCUACACUCAGCAAUAAAAUAAAUCCGUAAAGGAUUUGAAAUUAACCUAUUUAGAUAUUUUUCAUAGUUAUACUUUACAUAGUAUAAAAAGUAUACUAUCCAGAAUUAAUAAUUAUACUAAGUUGGAAUAACGCGAAGUUAUUUUUGUUUGUAUUUUGUCUUUGGCGAAAUUUUAUAUUUUCUUCCAUAUACGCCAUUUUUCCAUUGCUCUAGUCCAGUGAAGUCGACGCGUUGAAAAUAUUGUUUUGAAAAUUUCAAAUUUUCAAGUUCUCGGACUGUUAUUGGUUUUUUACCAUUGGGAGGGAAAACCUCUGAACACCGCAACCACUAGAACCUGGUGAGAUCCGACAAAGGAGGAGCGGCCAGCACCGGCUUUAUCCCAUCAAGGCAAGCGGAAACAGCGGCAAAGUUAUUAUAACUCUCGGAAGGAUAAUUGAUUCCAUUAUCACGAGCAACGGUGCUGGCGAAAUUAUUGCCGCUCAAACCUGAGAUGAAUCGCAUAAUCAUAGUCUACAACUUUUCGGCUUCCAACGGGCAGCAUUCAUCUUACGAUCAGCCCUGAUAAAAUGGAGGAACACCGCAUCCAAGUGGUUCCAGUUGCGCACACUAUGGACAAUCCUCGGUACCCAGAAACGUCAUCUCAGUUACCGGUUCGUAAUUUAUGAUCGGCCCUUCAGAACCAAAUUUAGUACUGUUGGCAAGGCAACAUUUUCUUAGUUUGUUUUUAUUUAAUAAACCACCAAAUUGAAAAAUGAAAAUGGAAAUCUCAUGGCGUGGAAAUGUUUCAGGCGACAAUUAUAUUUGA